rnacentral:lncRNA from 1 species
GCCGAGGAGACAAGUAUCUUGGCCGAUUAUUGAUGAGUUCCUAGGCACUCGGUGGAGCUCAGUGACUGGAAGGAUUCCGGGGUGUGGCCGCUGUCUACUUGUUCGCCUUUGCGUCCCUCUACACCCAGAUCCCAGGCCUCUAUGGCCCAGAGGGCAUCCUUCCUGCUCGAAGAACGCUGCGGCCCCAAGGCAAGGGUCGGUGGCAGCAGCUGUGGGAAACACCAACAAUUCUGUGGGAGGCACCAAGACUGGGGCUGGAUACUGCACAGGGCCUGGAUUUACUGACCUUACUGGGCACCGUGCUAGCCCUGGGUGCCCUGCUCCUGAACUCCCUGCGACACCCCUUCAUCUACCUGCUGCUCUGGGCUGCCUACCUAUCAGCCUGCCA